GCUGGAGGUAUCAGAAGUGCGAAUGCUGACAUAAGUAACGAUAAAGCGGGUGAAAAGCCCGCUCGCCGGAAGACCAAGGGUUCCUGUCCAACGUUAAUCGGGGCAGGGUGAGUCGACCCCUAAGGCGAGGCCGAAAGGCGUAGUCGAUGGGAAACAGGUUAAUAUUCCUGUACUUGGUGUUACUGCGAAGGGGGGACGGAGAAGGCUAUGUUGGCCGGGCGACGGUUGUCCCGGUUUAAGCGUGUAGGCUGGUUUUCCAGGCAAAUCCGGAAAAUCAAGGCUGAGGCGUGAUGACGAGGCACUACGGUGCUGAAGCAACAAAUGCCCUGCUUCCAGGAAAAGCCUCUAAGCAUCAGGUAACAUCAAAUCGUACCCCAAACCGACACAGGUGGUCAGGUAGAGAAUACCAAGGCGCUUGAGAGAACUCGGGUGAAGGAACUAGGCAAAAUGGUGCCGUAACUUCGGGAGAAGGCACGCUGAUAUGUAGGUGAAGUCCCUCGCGGAUGGAGCUGAAAUCAGUCGAAGAUACCAGCUGGCUGCAACUGUUUAUUAAAAACACAGCACUGUGCAAACACGAAAGUGGACGUAUACGGUGUGACGCCUGCCCGGUGCCGGAAGGUUAAUUGAUGGGGUCAGCGCAAGCGAAGCUCUUGAUCGAAGCCCCGGUAAACGGCGGCCGUAACUAUAACGGUCCUAAGGUAGCGAAAUUCCUUGUCGGGUAAGUUCCGACCUGCACGAAUGGCGUAAUGAUGGCCAGGCUGUCUCCACCCGAGACUCAGUGAAAUUGAACUCGCUGUGAAGAUGCAGUGUACCCGCGGCAAGACGGAAAGACCCCGUGAACCUUUACUAUAGCUUGACACUGAACAUUGAGCCUUGAUGUGUAGGAUAGGUGGGAGGCUUUGAAGUGUGGACGCCAGUCUGCAUGGAGCCGACCUUGAAAUACCACCCUUUAAUGUUUGAUGUUCUAACGUUGACCCGUGAUCCGGGUUGCGGACAGUGUCUGGUGGGUAGUUUGACUGGGGCGGUCUCCUCCUAAAGAGUAACGGAGGAGCACGAAGGUUGGCUAAUCCUGGUCGGACAUCAGGAGGUUAGUGCAAUGGCAUAAGCCAGCUUGACUGCGAGCGUGACGGCGCGAGCAGGUGCGAAAGCAGGUCAUAGUGAUCCGGUGGUUCUGAAUGGAAGGGCCAUCGCUCAACGGAUAAAAGGUACUCCGGGGAUAACAGGCUGAUACCGCCCAAGAGUUCAUAUCGACGGCGGUGUUUGGCACCUCGAUGUCGGCUCAUCACAUCCUGGGGCUGAAGUAGGUCCCAAGGGUAUGGCUGUUCGCCAUUUAAAGUGGUACGCGAGCUGGGUUUAGAACGUCGUGAGACAGUUCGGUCCCUAUCUGCCGUGGGCGCUGGAGAACUGAGGGGGGCUGCUCCUAGUACGAGAGGACCGGAGUGGACGCAUCACUGGUGUUCGGGUUGUCAUGCCAAUGGCACUGCCCGGUAGCUAAAUGCGGAAGAGAUAAGUGCUGAAAGCAUCUAAGCACGAAACUUGCCCCGAGAUGAGUUCUCCCUGACUCCUUGAGAGUCCUGAAGGAACGUUGAAGACGACGACGUUGAUAGGCCGGGUGUGUAAGCGCAGCGAUGCGUUGAGCUAACCGGUACUAAUGAACCGUGAGGCUUAACCUU
rnacentral:rRNA from 1 species